GCUCCAGGAAUCACUUUCUCUAGGUCUUAUUCUUAAAGGACUGAGACGAGCUUUCAUUAUCCAAGGAACUCUCACACAGAUGCGCACUGAUCUCACUUCUACUCAUACUGGCUCAAGCAAGAACAUGGAAACUGUCUUAUAACAGGCGAUGGAAAAACUGUGAUGGGGCCAAGCUCUGGCUAGCUAAUAACCCUUCAAGUACUUCUCCCUCUGUUCUGUCUGCAAUUUCAUCAAGCCGAACGGUGAUCUUCAAUAGCAAGCCAGAGCAUGAGGCAGGGGACUGACGCAGGGCUGGGCAUAUUGAGGAUGGUCACCAGAGUCCCGGCCAGGGGCAGGAGGUGUGAAUGGCGUCUGGCAUCUGCCAAAUAUAGCUCUGACAAACAGGAAGACUUGACUGAAAGAAGCUGGCGUGAGGAUAGAGAGAGAACUGACUGCACGAGGGCCAACUGCAUUUCAUUCAGAUGGCACGACACGCUCAUCAACUUGACUCCCCUUGUUAAAUGCCUGCAACACUGUUGCUUUAAUCUUCAAUUUUAACUUGUCCUUCUUAGAUUCCAGUUUCCUAAGAUACCCCUUCACACCCUUGGCCUUCACAGUGCAUCAUUCACUAAUCUUAUUGUCCCCAUCUGGUGAACUUGCCAUUCAUUCAUUCAUUCACUUUUGAAUGCACCUCUGAAUUAGGCACAAGGGAUUGAUAAAAACACAGACUCAUACUUUUCCUUUAUAUAAUGAGUUUAUGAUCAAAUUGUGAUCAAAUAUCCAGGAUAUUUUCUUAUGAAAAAUUAAAAAAAAAAAUAAAAC